rnacentral:rRNA from 1 species
CACCUACGGGAGGCAGCAGUGGGGAAUAUUGGGCAAUGGAGGCAACUCUGACCCAGCAAUGCCGCGUGAGUGAUGAAGGUAAUUUUAUUGUAAAGCUCUUUUCUUUGGAACGAAUAAGUGACGGUACCUGACGAAUAAGCCACGGCUAACUACGUGCCAGCAGCCGCGGUAAUACGUAGGUGGCAAGCGUUAUCCGGAUUUAUUGGGUGUAAAAGGCGUGUAGGCGGGAAUGCAAGUCAGAUGUGAAGACUAUGGGCUCAACCCAUAGCCUGCAUUUGAAACUGUAUUUCUUGAGUGCUGGAGAG